UGGUGUUAUUUUUAUUGUUAGGUAAUAACUAAUGAUAGAGACACUUCAAAGUCAACUAAUGUUAUUAUUUCCAGACAUGAGCCAACAAGUCAUGCAAGGUGACUCCCAAGUUUUUGGUGAAGAUUGACUUUGAAACUCAAACAAGGAUCAGGAUUCUGCUAGAAGUUUAAUCACUGAAUUUAUCAACUAGGAUUUGCGAUUGUUAGGAUUUUACAAAGUUUCCUUCUUCAUUUUAAGUUUGAGUAGUAGGAUCUUACGUAUACUCCAAUAAUGUUUCUUGUUUAGAGAUUUCCUAUUUCAAUUAGGAGUAGAACUUUUAGAGGGUCUACAAAGAUAGUUAUAAUUUUUACUUUUCAAUAGAGUUGGUAAUUUAUUGAACUUGGUAAGUGUUUACUUCGCA